rnacentral:rRNA from 1 species
AUACGUAGGGUGCAAGCGUUAAUCGGAAUUACUGGGCGUAAAGCGUGCGCAGGCGGUUUUGUAAGACAGUGGUGAAAUCCCCGGGCUCAACCUGGGAACUGCCAUUGUGACUGCAAAGCUGGAGUGCGGCAGAGGGGGAUGGAAUUCCCCGUGUAGCAGUGAAAUGCGUAGAUAGGCGGAGGAACACCGAUGGCGAAGGCAAUCCCCUGGGCCUGCACUGACGCUCAUGCACGAAAGCGUGGGGAGCAAACAGGUUUAGAUACCCUGGGAGUCCACGCCCAAAACGGUGUCAACUGGUUGUUGGGGAUUUAUUUUCUCAGUAACGAAGCUAACGCGUGAAGUUGACCGCCUGGGGAGUACGGCCGCAAGGUUAAAACUCAAAGGAAUUGACGGGG